rnacentral:misc_RNA from 1 species
AUUCGGCUACGGCUGCGCCCCCCCCCCUCCUCCCCCUCCUUCCUUGUUUUGCUUUUCUUUGACUCCCCGUCGUUGGCAUCCCCCGCACGGCAGCGCAUUCACCGACAGAGUCACGCCUACGCGUUGGUGUACGUCUCCGGCACUGCACUUUACGUGAAACUGCAUCACCAGCCUCUCGCUCUCUCGCGCGCGCGUGCCGCACCCUUCGUUGACAUUGCAGGGCUCGUGUGGUGCAUAACCCCUUCCCCGCUUCUUCUCUUGUGCCUCCUGCGCUGCUCGCUCCUGCGCCUCACCGUGGAGCAUCUUUCCAGAGCCGCGCGGCCGCUACAGUCUGCGUCGAGGGCCCAUACGCCGCGCACCUAAGCAAGCGGCGUGCGCACAUCCGGAGCGGGCGAAGCGCUACGUCCGGGCGACCCGGGUAGAGCCAGAGAGCUUUUUCAGCGUGUAUCGCGCGACGGCUGAGGUGCCCGCACGCUCCUCCCCCCUCGCCCACCCAUCGCCUCCGCUUGCACAGCGCAAAGGAAAGCCGCCGUCAUGAUCCCUGGCGGCUCCGUGGACUGCGCCCACACCCUCGAGGUGGCCGAGGACCACUACGGCAGGGGCGACCGCUCGACGGCGCGCGAGCUGCUGCAGUCGAUCGUCACGACAGACGUUGCAGUGGAUGACGGAGACUCGAUCCGUGCCAAGGAGCAGGCGGUGUACCGGCUGGCGGAGCUGCUGACGGUAACCAAGGACGGCGAGGCCGCCAUCCAGCUGCUCUCGGAUGUGCGGCCGUUCUUCCAGGUGCUGCCGAAGGCGAAGACGACGAAGAUGGUGCGCAAACUCUUCGAGCACAUUGUGCAGUGCGGCGUGCCGCUGAAGCAGCAGGAAGAGGUGUGUCUCGAGACCGUACACUGGGCGCGCAAGGAGCGUCGCACCUUUCUGCGCCACCGCCUGCAGCUCCGCUACGUGGAGAUUCUGUUCGCCGAGAACCGCAAGAGCGACGCUCUGGCGUCGCUGAGCGCGCUGCUCAAGGAGGUGCGCCGCUUGGACGACCGUACGCUGCUGCUCGACAUCUACCUCCUGGAGAGCAAGCUAUACUACGCCGUCAUGGAUAUCCAGAAGGCCAGGGCGGCACUCGUCUCGGCGCGCACGACGGCGAACAGCAUCUACUGCCCGCCUCUCUCGCAGGCGGAGAUCGACCUCCAGUCCGGUGUGCUGCACGCGGAGGAGAAAGAUAACAAGACCGCGUACUCUUACCUAUACGAAGCCUUUGAGGGGUUCCAUCAGCUCGGCGACCAGGCACGCCAGGCGCGCCGUUCGCUUCGCUACAUGAUCCUGUCGAAGAUCUCCACGGACAGCCCCGACGAGCUUGCGACGCUGCUCUCGUCCAAGAGCGUGCUGGAGUAUAAGGGCACCGACAUGGAUGCGCUGCGCGGCAUCGCAGACGCCUACAACAAGCAGGACACGCAUCUCUUCAACAGUAUCCUGUCCAAGUGCCGCGCCGAGGCGGAGGAGUCCGGCGCCGGCGGCAGCAACGACACGAACCUCCUCGCCGACGAGGUGGUGCGUCGGCAGGUCAACGACAUGUACAACACGCUGCUGGAGCGGCACCUGUUGAAGGUGGUGUCGCCGUACAACCGCGUGCAGAUCGCCUACGUGAGCAACCUUCUGAGGCUGGACGCCAUGGUGGUGGAGCAGAAGCUUUCUCAGCUCAUUCUCGAUCGCAAGCUGCGCGGCAUCGUCGAUCAGCAGCAUCGCUGUCUUAUCGUCUUCGACGACGAGGCCGCUGAGGCGUCCAAGCCAGGAAAGGACGGCAGCGAGGCGUUCUACGACAACGCCGCUGACGCCGCCGCCGCGGCGGACCAGGCGCCGACGACACUCUACCAGGACGCGCUCACGGCGCUGGAGUGCUACAACACGCUCGUCACGGCGCUCUUCGACAAGGUCAAUGGCAAGUUCGAUGCGCUCGUCGAGGAGAACAUCGCCAAGCACAAGGGCGCGAAGGCGAAGGAGGAGGGUGAGGAGGCGAACCGGAAGAACAAGCGGGGCGGCAUCGGCAGCGUCAAGGACGCCGUCGCCGACCGAGGUGGAAAGUCUGACAGUGGCAACAAGCAGAAGAGGCCUGGCGACAAGCGCAAGUGACCCGAGGCGCGAUGUGCAGAAUGUGCUCCUUCUCUUCCGACACCCCUGCCUUGUGGCAGCAAGGAGCGAGGCGACGGUGAGGGUUUGUAGCGAGGUCGGGGGCGGUGCUGGCGUCUUCUUCUACAUGUGCGUACACACCCACGCGUGCAAACACACACACACACACACAUAGGCGCGACCAUCCAAGACGGAUUGAGACCCGUGACCGCGCCGAGCACAACGGCACACACCGCCACCGACACAGGGGAAUACAGCGCAUAUAAGAAAUACGGAGGAGGAGAGAAAGAUGCGUACACACACGCAUACCUUUAAGGGGCCGGCGCGUCGGCGCGUCUUCCCUCCCUCCUUCGCUGUGUGUGUGUGUGUGUGUGUGUGCGUGCAUGGAUGUGCCCGUGGGUGUUGUGGCCUGUGAUGUGUAAGUGUGUGCGCUCUUUAUGUGUGCGUGGUUGCAGGAUGCUGUGCGUGUGUGCGUGUGCGGCGCAGAGAGCCUGUGGGGCCCUCUUCUUUUCCCUUUCCUUCCUUCCUUGUUAUCUUGCCGCCAGCCAUGGGCAGGUGUGCGGGAGGUGGUGGCGGGGCAGUGAUGGUGGCUGUGAUAGAUGAUGUAAUGUAAGGGCAAGGCGUGUGCUGGCAGGUGGGAACGUGUGGGGAGACCAGUGAGGGGCAAUGCUGCUCAGGUCGCUCACGACGCAUGCGUGUGUCUGUGUUAAUCCAUCACCCUCCUUCCCCGAGGGUGGCGAUGGUGGUGGUGGCUGGAGGGCCGGGGUGGCUCCACUGCUCGGCACACGCGUCAGCACACUGACGAUAUUGCCGCUGCUCACUCCCAUCAAGGCGUCUAUUUUACCCGCAUCACGGACUGCACGCAUUACGCGAGGUCGCGGAUCUGAGAGACGUUGCCGCCUCCGCCCGCGCUGCAGCCAUUCUCCGCCCCGCCCUUCUUUCUCUGCGCUUGCACAUCGGCCUAUCGUUGUUGUUGUGCGCAGGCUUUCGGGCUCUGCGUGCUUCUUCUACAUAUAU